UACAGAGGGUGCAAGCGUUGUUCGGAAUUAUUGGGCGUAAAGGGCGCGUAGGUGGCCCGGUCAGUUCGUGGUGAAAGCGCGGGGCUCAACCCUGCGUCGGCCAUGAAUACUGCCGCGGCUGGAGCACUGUAGAGGCAGGCGGAAUUCCGGGUGUAGCGGUGGAAUGCGUAGAGAUCCGGAAGAACACCGGUGGCGAAGGCGGCCUGCUGGGCAGUUGCUGACACUGAGGCGCGACAGCGUGGGGAGCAAACAGG
rnacentral:rRNA from 1 species